rnacentral:rRNA from 1 species
AGAGUUUGAUCAUGGCUCAGAUUGAACGCUGGCGGUAUGCUUUACACAUGCAAGUCGAACGGGCUUUGGGGCUUGCUCCAAAGUUAGUGGCGAACGGGUGAGUAAUAUAUCGGAACAUGUCCGGAAGUGGGGGAUAACGUAGCGAAAGUUACGCUAAUACCGCAUAUGCCCUGAGGGGGAAAGGGGGGGAUCGCAAGACCUCUCGCUUUCGGAGUGGCCGAUAUCGGAUUAGCUAGAUGGUGAGGUAAAGGCUCACCAUGGCGACGAUCCGUAGCUGGUCUGAGAGGACGACCAGCCACACUGGAACUGAGACACGGUCCAGACUCCUACGGGAGGCAGCAGUGGGGAAUUUUGGACAAUGGGCGCAAGCCUGAUCCAGCCAUACCGCGUGAGUGAAGAAGGCCUUCGGGUUGUAAAGCUCUUUCAGCCGGAAAGAAAUCGCACUGGUUAACACCUUGUGUGGAUGACGGUACCGGAAGAAGAAGCACCGGCUAACUACGUGCCAGCAGCCGCGGUAAU